rnacentral:rRNA from 1 species
AGCAGCCGCGGUAAUUCCAGCUCCAAUAGCGUAUAUUAAAGUUGUUGCAGUUAAAAAGCUCGUAGUUGAAUUUCGGGAUUAGUGCGCCGGUCGUGCCUUCGGUAUGUACUGGUGUUACUGGUUCCUACCUUCUGACGAACCGUCAUGUCAUUAAUUUGGUGUGGCGGGGAAUCAGGACUGUUACUUUGAAAAAAUUAGAGUGUUUAAAGCAGGCUCGCGCUUGAAUACAUUAGCAUGGAAUAAUGAAAUAGGACGUUCGAUCCUAUUUUGUUGGUUUCUAGGAUUGACGUAAUGAUUAAUAGGGAUAGUUGGGGGCAUUAGUAUUCAAUUGUCAGAGGUGAAAUUCUUGGAUUUAUUGAAGACUAACUACUGCGAAAGCAUUUGCCAAGGAUGUUUUUCAUUAAUCAAGAACGAAAGUUAGGGGAUCGAAGACGAUCAGAUACCGUCGUAGUCUU